UACGGAGGGUGCAAGCGUUAAUCGGAAUUACUGGGCGUAAAGGGUGCGUAGGCGGGUCGUUAAGUCUGGCGUGAAAUCCCCGGGCUCAACCUGGGAAUGGCGAUGGAUACUGGCGAGCUAGAGUGUGUCAGAGGAUGGUGGAAUUCCCGGUGUAGCGGUGAAAUGCGUAGAGAUCGGGAGGAACAUCAGUGGCGAAGGCGGCCAUCUGGGACAACACUGACGCUGAAGCACGAAAGCGUGGGGAGCAAACAGG
rnacentral:rRNA from 1 species